GACAGAGGCCUCAAGCGUUAUCCGGAUUUACCGGGCGUAAAGCGUGUGCAGGCGGGGUGACAAGUGGUGUAUGAAAUAUCCCGGCUUAACCGGGAAGGGUUAUGCCAGACUGUCAUUCUAGAGUCCGGAAGAGGAGAGUGGAAUUCCUGGUGUAGCGGUGAAAUGCGCAGAGUAUCAGGAAGAACACCAAUGGCGAAGGCAGCUCUCUGGGACGGUACUGACGCUGAGACGCGAAAGCGUGGGGAGCAAACAGG
rnacentral:rRNA from 1 species